GACGAACCGAGCGAACGUUGUUCGGAAUCACUGGGCUUAAAGGGCGCGUAGGCGGGCUCUCAAGUCCGGGGUGAGAUCCCACAGCUCAACUGUGGAACUGCCUCGGAUACUGGGGGUCUCGAGGGUGGUAGGGGUAUGCGGAACUAUCGGUGGAGCGGUGAAAUGCGUUGAUAUCGAUAGGAACUCCGGUGGCGAAGGCGGCAUACUGGACCACAUCUGACGCUGAGGCGCGAAAGCCAGGGGAGCAAACGGG
rnacentral:rRNA from 1 species